GUCGGAUAUGGAGACCACUACCCUACCACCGGUGGAGGGAAGUUUCUGGGGAGCAUCUGUGCUCUGGCAGGUAUCCUGACCAUAGCUCUACCUGUUCCCGUCAUCGUUACCAAA
rfam:Branchiostoma floridae genomic scaffold BRAFLscaffold_94, whole genome shotgun sequence.